UGCGUCUGUGAGGUGCACGGCUCUGAAGUUUCUCCCGCUGUGCACCAGUUGGCACAGGUCCACACAGCCAGCACUCAGACCAGAUCUUCCAGCUCAGCCCAGCACUCCACGUCUGCCACGUUCAAGGAUUUCUGAGCUCGUAUCUGGGACAACAGAAGGUCCACUGCCAGAAAUUAGCACCCCAUAAAUUCUGCGAAAAUCAAGAAAGGGGAGGCGAGAAGGGAAACCUACUAUUUCACAGCAAUUAGGGGAAGAAAUUGGCAAUUACAGACUCCAGCAGGUGAAUACACAAGAGGAAAGAAUCCUCAGUUACAGGCUCUGACAGGGAAAGAUGUACACUGCCUCUCCUACGUGAAAUUGCAACUCAACCAAUGAGAAACCAUCAUCACCCUGAACUCUUGCUCUUCUCCAAUGGACUUUCCUUCAAAACAACCCCUGCCAACUUCCUCCUUCUUCCCCAUAAAAAAAUUCCUCUCCUUUGUUUAUUGGACUUGUCUAUGGUUUUACCAUAGCUUGUGUAUCCCAAGUUGUAAUUCUCUGCUAUUCCUGAAUAACUCCUUUUGCUGGUAAAAUAAAUGGCUAUUUUAUUUUUUA